GAGUUUGUUCCUGGCUCAGGAUGAACGCUAGCGGCAGGCUUAACACAUGCAAGUCGAACGGCAGCGGGGAUUCACUUCGGUGAAUCUGCCGGCGAGUGGCGCACGGGUGAGUAACACGUAUGCAACCUGCCUCUGUCAGGGGUAUAACUCUGCGAAAGUAGGGCUAAUACCGCGUAUAUUCCCGGAGUGCAUCCUCCGGGGAGGAAAGGUUUCAGCCGGACAGAGAUGGGCAUGCGGCGCAUUAGGCAGUUGGCGGGGUAACGGCCCACCAAACCGACGAUGCGUAGGGGUUCUGAGAGGAAGGUCCCCCACACUGGUACUGAGACACGGACCAGACUCCUACGGGAGGCAGCAGUGAGGAAUAUUGGUCAAUGGCCGGAAGGCUGAACCAGCCAAGCCGCGUGAAGGACGAAGGUGCCAAGCGUUGUAAACCUCUUUUGUCAGGGAGCAAAGGGCGUCACGUGUGGCGUUUUGCGAGUACCUGAAGAAAAAGCAUCGGCUAACUCCGUGCCAGCAGCCGCGGUAAUACGGAGGAUGCGAGCGUUAUCCGGAUUUAUUGGGUUUAAAGGGUGCGCAGGCGGAAUGUCAAGUCAGCGGUAAAAUUUCGGGGCUCAACCCCGUCGUGCCGUUGAAACUGGCGUUCUUGAGUGAGCGAGAAGUAUGCGGAAUGCGUGGUGUAGCGGUGAAAUGCAUAGAUAUCACGCAGAACUCCGAUUGCGAAGGCAGCAUACCGGCGCUCAACUGACGCUCAUGCACGAAAGUGUGGGUAUCGAACAGGAUUAGAUACCCUGGUAGUCCACGCAGUAAACGAUGAAUACUAACUGUCCGGGCAGAAUGAUGUCUGGGUGGUACAGCGAAAGCGUUAAGUAUUCCACCUGGGGAGUACGCCGGCAACGGUGAAACUCAAAGGAAUUGACGGGGGCCCGCACAAGCGGAGGAACAUGUGGUUUAAUUCGAUGAUACGCGAGGAACCUUACCCGGGCUCAAACGACGGAUGGAUGUUUCUGAAAGGAGGCAGUCCUACGGGACAUCCGUCGAGGUGCUGCAUGGUUGUCGUCAGCUCGUGCCGUGAGGUGUCGGCUUAAGUGCCAUAACGAGCGCAACCCCCAUCGCCAGUUACCAGCAAGUAAAGUUGGGGACUCUGGCGAGACUGCCGGCGCAAGCUGUGAGGAAGGCGGGGAUGACGUCAAAUCAGCACGGCCCUUACGUCCGGGGCGACACACGUGUUACAAUGGCAGGUACAGAGAGAUGCGAUGUGGCGACGCAGAGCGGAACUUCAAAGCCUGUCUCAGUUCGGAUUGGAGUCUGCAACCCGACUCCAUGAAGCUGGAUUCGCUAGUAAUCGCGCAUCAGCCACGGCGCGGUGAAUACGUUCCCGGGUCUUGCACUCACCGCCCGUCA
rnacentral:rRNA from 1 species